rnacentral:rRNA from 1 species
GGAUGCGAUCAUACCAGCACUAAAGCACCGGAUCCCAUCAGAACUCCGAAGUUAAGCGUGCUUGGGCGAGAGUAGUACUAGGAUGGGUGACUUCUUGGGAAGUCCUCGUGUUGCAUUCC